AACGAACGCUGGCGGCAGGCCUAACACAUGCAAGUCGAGGGAGAAACUAUCUUCGGAUAGCGGAGACCGGCAGACGGGUGAGUAACACGUGGGAAUAUACCUAGUAGUGGGGGAUAACAGUUGGAAACGACUGCUAAUACCGCAUACGCCCUUCGGGGGAAAGAUUUAUCGCUAUUAGAUUAGCCCGCGUUAGAUUAGCUAGUUGGUAAGGUAAUGGCUUACCAAGGCGACGAUCUAUAGCUGGUUUGAGAGGAUGAUCAGCCACACUGGGACUGAGACACGGCCCAGACUCCUACGGGAGGCAGCAGUGGGGAAUAUUGCGCAAUGGAGGAAACUCUGACGCAGCCAUGCCGCGUGAGUGAAGAAGGCCUUAGGGUUGUAAAGCUCUUUCAGACGUGAUGAUGAUGACAGUAACGUCAAAAGAGUACCGGCUAACUUCGUGCCAGCGCCGCGGUAAU
rnacentral:rRNA from 1 species